UACGAAGGGGGCUAGCGUUGCUCGGAAUCACUGGGCGUAAAGCGCACGUAGGCGGCCUCUUAAGUCGGGGGUGAAAUCCUGGAGCUCAACUCCAGAACUGCCUUCGAUACUGGGAGUCUUGAGUUCGGGAGAGGUGAGUGGAACUGCGAGUGUAGAGGUGAAAUUCGUAGAUAUUCGCAAGAACACCAGUGGCGAAGGCGGCUCACUGGCCCGAUACUGACGCUGAGGUGCGAAAGCGUGGGGAGCGAACAGG
rnacentral:rRNA from 1 species